rnacentral:rRNA from 1 species
AUUGAACGCUGGCGGCAGGCUUAACACAUGCAAGUCGAGCGGGGGAGGUUGCUUCGGUAACUGACCUAGCGGCGGACGGGUGAGUAAUGCUUAGGAAUCUGCCUAUUAGUGGGGGACAACAUUCCGAAAGGGAUGCUAAUACCGCAUACGCCCUACGGGGGAAAGCAGGGGAUCUUCGGACCUUGCGCUACUAGAUGAGCCUAAGUCGGAUUAGCUAGUUGGUGGGGUAAAGGCCUACCAAGGCGACGAUCUGUAGCGGGUCUGAGAGGAUGAUCCGCCACACUGGGACUGAGACACGGCCCAGACUCCUACGGGAGGCAGCAGUGGGGAAUAUUGGACAAUGGGCGGAGGCCUGAUCCAGCCAUGCCGCGUGUGUGAAGAAGGCCUUUUGGUUGUAAAGCACUUUAAGCGAGGAGGAGGCUACCUGGAUUAAUACUCUAGGAUAGUGGACGUUACUCGCAGAAUAAGCACCGGCUAACUCUGUGCCAGCAGCCGCCGUAAAAC